CUAGAAAGUAGCUAGUAAGUUAGCCAGACUGAGCUCGGAUGGGGUCCUUUGCCAGAGCUGCGCGGUUCCUGUUACUCCUCCAAAUCGCUCUGUUCAUCUUCUCCGCGGUGAUCAUGAGCAGCUCCGUGGCAGUGGCCCGCGACAUCAGUGCUGGCGGUGGCGCUCUGAACCCUAACCGUCCUGGGUGCAUUGGCGGAUCGUGCCCAUCACCUGGUGGAUCCUACACUCGACCAUGCCGGUACAAGUACAGGUGCGCACCACCGGCUGGUGGUCAACCCUAAUACCUGCAGACCCCCUCUCAUGAAUAAUGGAAGGGUACAUGCUCAGCUGAUGCACGCCUCCAUGCCGCUACAACUGCAUGUGCCCACCAGCUGAUGCUGCCACCACCUUUUACUGAACCGAUGAUACUACCUCCGUCCCGGUUCAUAGGGCUUACGCGUAUUUCUAGGUCGUAAAUUUUAUCAACAUAAUUUAAAAUAUAUAUUAUAAAAUAUAUAUCAUUAGAAAGCUUAGAUGUUCUACUUUCUAAUGAUAUAAUUUUUGUAUUAUAAAACUGAUAUUAUGUUGACCAAAUAGGCAACCUAGGGAUACGCACAAGCCCUGUGAACUGGGAUGGAGGGAGUAUCGACUCUACGUGUACUUACAGCUUUAAUACUCCGAAUAAAACUGUAUGGUUGGCACUGAUA